GGAGGCAACACGUAUUGAAGCGUUGCAUUGGAUGUCAACCCUGUUAAAUAGACAUCGCUCGGAGGUCUUAGUUUUUCUUAACAAUGUCCUUGAAACUCUUCUAAAGGCGCUAUCUGACCCCUCCGAUGAGGUAGUUCUUUUGGUGCUCAAGGUGCAUGCAUGUAUAGCUGAAGACCCUCAACACUUCCGCCAGCUUGUCGUGUUCCUGGUUCACAACUUUCAGCUUGAUCACUCACUCCUGGAAAAACGUGGAGCUUUGAUAAUUCGUCGGCUGUGUGUCCUCCUAAAUGCUGAAAGAGUUUAUCGUGAACUGUCUACCAUACUUGAAGGGGAAUCAGAUUUGGAUUUUGCAUCUAUCAUGGUUCAGGCCUUAAACUUGAUUUUGCUUACUGCAUCUGAGUUGUCUGACCUUCGAGAUCUUCUUAAACAAUCGCUGGUCAAUGCUGAUGGGAAGAACUUAUUUCUUUCCUUGUAUGCAUCAUGGUGCCAUUCUCCAAUGGCAAUAAUCA
rnacentral:misc_RNA from 1 species